AUGUGGGAGGAAUGCUUGCCUCAUAUUGAAUUUGCUUAUAAUCGUUCAAUGCAUUCUACUACUAAGAUGUGCCCUUUUGAAGUUGUGUAUGGUUUCCUACCUCGUGCACCUAUUGAUUUGUUGCCUCUUCCAUCUUCGGAGAAGGUUAAUUUUGAUGCUAAACAACGUGCUGAAUUGAUUUUAAAAAUGCAUGAGUUAACUAAGGAAAACAUUGAGCGCAUGAAUGCUAAAUAUAAACUUGCUGGAGAUAAGGGUAGAAAACAUGUUGUGUUUGCACCUGGAGAUCUUGUUUGGUUACAUUUGCGUAAGGAUAGAUUUCCUGAUUUGCGCAAAUCAAAGUUAAUGCCACGUGCUGAUGGUCCCUUUAAGGUGUUAGAGAAAAUAAAUGAUAAUGCAUAUAAACUUGAGCUGCCUGCAGAUUUUGGGGUCAGUCCCACUUUUAACAUUGCAGAUUUGAAGCCUUAUUUGGGUGAGGAAGAUGAACUUCCGUCGAGGACGACUUCAUUUCAAGAAGGGGAGGAUGAUGAGGACAUCAAUACAAUUGUUACACCCACAGCCCCUGCUGCUAUACAUACUGGACCAAUUACUAGAGCUCGUGCACGCCAACUAAAUUACCAGGAAACAGACCCUCGUGGUCAGGUUGAUCGUGCUCCGGCGUGGUCAAUAACCUCUCGGAGUUGGUUUAGCGAUUGCUAA
rnacentral:rRNA from 1 species